GUAGGGAAUCUUGCGCAAUGGGCGAAAGCCUGACGCAGCCAUGCCGCGUGAAUGAUGAAGGUCUUAGGAUUGUAAAAUUCUUUCACCGGGGAAGAUAAUGACGGUACCCGGAGAAGAAGCCCCGGCUAACUUCGUGCCAGCAGCCGCGGUAAUACGAAGGGGGCUAGCGUUGCUCGGAAUUACUGGGCGUAAAGGGCGCGUAGGCGGAUAUUUAAGUUAGAGGUGAAAGCCCAGGGCUCAACCCUGGAAUAGCCUUUAAUACUGGAUAUCUUGAGUUCGGGAGAGGUGAGUGGAACUCCGAGUGUAGAGGUGAAAUUCGUAGAUAUUCGGAAGAACACCAGUGGCGAAGGCGACUCACUGGCCCGAUACUGACGCUGAGGCGCGAAAGCGUGGGGAGCAAACAGGAUUAGAUACCCUUGUAGUCC
rnacentral:rRNA from 1 species